rnacentral:rRNA from 1 species
AUGAAGAAGAAGAAGAAUGGGACUGGUGCUGGCAAUAGGAUUCUUGCAUUGUGGGAAAAAGCUUCAAAAGCAAAGAAGAUUGAUGAAACGUCUACACCGAAUCAGAGUGCGGCUGCAUCGGGUACUUGUACCUCUCAUGAUCAGCUUGAGAGCAAUAUGCAAUUGGCGUUAGUGCAAGCACCGGAUGCGGAACGUGAACCGGAGAGCGGAGAAGCAACCCCAACCCCAAUUGAUAAAGAUGCUGAAACAAGUGAUGCAGAUGAUGAACCAAUGGAAGCAGAUUUGGAGGCACUCGAACCUGAUCCUGGGAAGCGGAUUCCCAUCUCAAUGUAUGCUGUCAAUGACCAAGAUAGAGUAAGAAGAAGAUAUAUUGAGAUGAAGCCAUGUCAACCUAAGAAUCAUAACUUUGAGUAUACAAAUAAAAGUGGAGUUGACCGUCGCUUUUGUCGUGCUUGGUUUAAGAAUUUCCAUGGAUUGAGUAUAGUGUGA